GACGAACGCUGGCGGCGUGCUUAACACAUGCAAGUCGAACGGUGAAGCGCUUGCCUUUUUGGUGGGUGUGGAUGAGUGGCGAACGGGUGAGUAACACGUGAGUAACCUGCCCUCUUCUUCUGGAUAGCCUCAUGAAAGUGGGGCUAAUACGGGGUAUUCCGGGUCUGUCGCAUGGCGGGUUUGGGAAAGAUUGCGCCUUUGGGUGUUUUCGGUGGGGGAUGGGCUCGCGGCCUAUCAGCUUGUUGGUGGGGUGAUGGCCUACCAAGGCGGUGACGGGUAGCCGGCCUGAGAGGGUGGACGGCCACACUGGGACUGAGACACGGCCCAGACUCCUGCGGGAGGCAGCAGUGGGGAAUAUUGCACAAUGGGCGCAAGCCUGAUGCAGCGACGCCGCGUGAGGGAUGGAGGCCUUCGGGUUGUGAACCUCUUUCGCCAGUGAAGCAGGCCUGCUCCUGUGUGGGUGGGUUGACGGUAGCUGGAUAAGAAGCGCCGGCUAACUACGUG
rnacentral:rRNA from 1 species